rnacentral:rRNA from 1 species
UCCCGUUGAUCCUGCGGGAGAUUGCUGCUAUUAGAGUUCGACUAAGCCAUGCAAGUCAGGUUACCUUGUGUAGCCGGCAAAAUGCUCAGUAACACGUCGAUAAUCUGCCCUUAGGUCUAGAAUAACCUUGGGAAACUGAGGCUAAUACUGGAUAGGGGAAUAUUUCUGGAAUGAAUUUUCCCUUAAAGAUUACGCCUAAGGAUGGGACGGCGGCCGAUUAGGUAGUUGGCGGUGUAAUGGACCACCAAGCCGAAGAUCGGUAGAGGCCUUGAGAGAGGGAGCCUCGAGAAGGGCACUGAGAUACUGGCCCUAGCCCUACGGGGUGCAGCAGGCGCGAAACCUUUACAAUGCACGAAAGUGUGAUAAGGGGACUCUAAGUGCUUAUGCUUUGCAUAGGCUUUUGCCAAAUGUAAACAUUUUGGCGAAUAAGUGGUGGGAAAGACGGGUGCCAGCCGCCGCGGUAACACCUGCGCCACAAGUGGGAAUCAUUUUUAUUGGGCCUAAAGCGUCCGUAGCCGAUUCAAUAAAUCUUCUGUGAAAUUGCUGUGCUUAACACAGCAACGUGCAGAAGACACUGUUGGAAUAGGAACUGGGAGGAGUCAGAAGUAUUUCUGGGGGAGCGGUAAAAUGCUAUAAUCCCGGGAGGACUACCUGUGGCAAAAGCGUCUGACUAGAACAGAUUCGACGGUGAGGGACGAAAGCUAGGGGAGCAAUCCGGAUUAGAUACCCAAGUAGUCCUAGCCAUAAACGCUGCGAGCUAGGUGUUGCACAUUCUUCGUGAAUGUGCAGUGUCGUAGAGAAGUCGCUAAGCUCGCCGCCUGGGAAGUAUAGUCGCAAGACCGAAACUUAAAGGAAUUGGCGGGGGAGCACUACAAGGGGUGCGGCGUGCGGUUUAAUCUAAUUCAACGCAGAGAACCUCACCAGAAGCGACGGCAGGAUGAAAGUCAGUCUGAAGGGCUUACUUGACGAGCCGAGAGGUAGCGCAUGGCCGCCGUCAGCUCAUGCCGUAAGGUGUCCUGUUAAGUCAGGCAACGAGCGAGACCUGUACCUACAAUUGCUAACAACUAGUAAUAGGAUUGAGCACAUUGUAGGAACUGCCUUCGAAAGGAGGAGGAAGGUGCAGGCUACGGUAGGUCUGUAUGCUCCGAAUCUUCUGGGCUACACGCGCGCAACAAUGGUAAGGACAGUGGGAUGCAACUCCGAAAGGAGAAGCUAAUCCUCGAAACCUUAUCUUAGUUCAGAUUGAGGUUUGCAACUCAGCCUCAUGGCGCUGGAAUCCCUAGUAAUCAGACGUUAGCAUCGUCCGGUGAAUAUGUCCCUGCUCCUUGCACACACCGCCCGUCAAACCACCUGAGUAGGGUCUAGAUGAGGCCUAAUUUUUAAUUAGUUCGAAUCUAGGCUUUGCGAGGAGGGUUAAGUCGUCACAAGGUA